UACACGAGGCGCCUCCAUUCCAAAAUAAAAUUCUACAAUCAUUAGUUCGUUGUAUUAAUAAUUUUUCCUCUUUCAAAUCAGCGUCAUUUUUUUCCCGAGGUGCUAUACCAAUAACCAAUUUCAUGAUAAAGAUGUUUAACAAACCACCUACUAGUACGUGAAAAAAUUCAUAUUAAGGAAGUUGGUGAAAACUUGGCCACCCUUUUUCUCUUGUAAUUUACCAUUUGUUAUUAUUAUUACUAUUAUUAGCUUGUUCAACCAAUUUUAAUUAGUGACAUAAUCAUUGAGCCUUUGGAGAAGACAUCUCUUUUUUUUUAAUUCAUGCUUACUAUAAUCCAGAUUGGUGAUUGUAAUAUGAAGAAUAAUGAAGAAAAAGGGAGAAAAGAAACAAAGAAUAUAAGUAUCACUUUGGAGGCUUUAGAGGUAGAAGCCAGUGAAAGAGAUAAGAGGGGAGGGGGCAUGGGACCAUAAACAAACGCUCCUUGGUCCACAAAGUUGGCACCUCAGCAUCUAAGGUUGUCCUACAUUGCAAGCUGCUACAAAGUCCCUCUCCUUGGAUGGAAGCUUAAGGUUAGAUGAGAGGGACAAAAUAAUACAUGAAUGCCCUUUGUCAGUGACAUGGUUUCUCUAAUUCACGCGACCGUGACAGAAGGUGGGGGGACCAUACAUGGUGAAGAAAAAUCUAUCAAGUUUCUAAAAUGGGCUCCAUCACGUUCAUCUUGUGUGACUCCUAAUCAAUAUCUCAUUGAACAAUGUUGAAUCAUACAUGGCAUCAAGGUUUAUACCAUGUGAGAGUCUGCAUCCAAUAUCAGAGACAAAGUUCAUAUUCGUGAUCUACGCUAACAAAUAUAAUACACAUGAUAAUCAAAUCAAAUAUCUAGGACAAGUUCUCGUACAACAUAGUAUACACAAAGCUGGCAAGGUGAUAUAUUUUAUCUCAAUCAUUUGAGAUGUGUUAACUAAAACUGAAUGAACGUUACUGCAAUAUAUUUUUCUCACAUGCAUAUUCAGAAUAGCAAGAAAACUAAGAUAUACUUCUACUCACGUACAAUUUAGUACAACAAAUACACUAGGACAUAUAUGAUUGGCACAAUGCAAAAAA